UUCUGUAUUUCUGGGUUCUUUUGGUGAAUGUCUUAUCAAAUGUAUCAUCAAAACAUGUACUUGUUACAACUCCUGGAGGAUAUUUUCCAAAGAGGAAACGUGUUGAAAAUCGUCCUAUAAUGUAGUGGAUGAUCAUUAAAAUGCUGAUAGAAACUACAGAGGGCUGAGUUUCUGGCAAAGUCGGAUGAAGGAGCUACAUGGCAGACUAGAAAGCAGUGUAAAGCAUCUCCUGUAACAGGGAACUGAAAUGCCUCUUCUGUAAGAGAACUUUAUAGAGGCUGAAAGCUUUGGCCAUUUUAGCUGAUCUUGGAGCUGCUUGGUGGUAACUUGCAGUAGUUUACACAGACUGUUCCUUGGGCUCUUUAUUGCAUAAAUAAGUUGGUUGAAGAAGCCAUUACAGAAACUUGCAGAAAGAAGCACGGUAUCUCCUAGUGACACAGCUUUAGACAGGCCCUUUGGGGGUGGGGGCUGGAGAGAUGAUGCAGGUUGUUCCUGGAAGGAACCCAUUUCAUUCACUCCCACUGAGUUACAAAACUUGUUUUCCCAUUCGCAGAAUCAUCAGCGCAAAAGGACCAUAAAGCGUUUUAAGAGGACUUUCUUUGGCUCACUCAUUAGGAAGCUCUUUGCAGUGAACUGGCAAGUGCCUGCUGUCUGAUGGCUGGCCUCCUCCCCAAGCAGGGGAAGGAUUAGGUGGGAUUAACAAUGAAGCAAACAAUAAGCAGAGCAACAGGGAGAGAAGAAGGAUGGGAGAAAGACCCAGCAGCCUGCAGACAGGGCUGACUGCACUUGGACGUGUUACACUGCAUUUGUUAAUGGCUUUACUGAGGCAGACACAGCUGUGGUGUUUCUUCCAAUGUAUAUUCAUUUUCUGCUUGGAAAUCAUGAUGUUGGAAGAUUGCUGAAGAUUCAUGACUUUCCUUCUGCCUAGCAGUGACAUUUAAGGUGCAACAUGGUUUCUGUCCAAAUUCAUGGUUCACACAAAAUGGCACCAUCAUAAAUGUCUUGGGAACAGAUGCCCUCCCUGGCCUUCCCACUGCAUCUGCAGCCGGGACAGCAUCCAGCAAACACAUUCACCUAAACUGGGAAGCUGGGAGCUGCUCUCCAGCAACUAGAACAGAAGAAGCUUCCAGCUUCUGCUUUCUAAGGGUAUAGCUAUACAGGAGAGAGCUGCUUGUCUGGAGACAUAACAGCAGUGGGGAGUUUUCUAGCUGUCAUUGCUAGAACUGUCUGGUCCUCUUUCUUUACCUUCCUCUUACAGCACAGAACAGUGCUGCCUGGGGACACCCAGGCCAGGCAGUUACCAGCAGUCCUGCAGCCCUGCACAAGACUAAUCAGUCUUCUUCCUGGCAGCUCCUAUGCCCUGUAUCCCUGAGGAAAAACAAGGCAUUUUCCAGUCCCUGCUGAGGUAAAUCUUCCCAGCACCUGGUAAUGCUGUGUCCCAUGUACAGUGCCUGAGCUGGCGGAGCAGUCCCUCUCUCCACUGAGGUCUGUUGGAAGGGCCUGAGAGGCACAGGGAUUGGCCUUCAGCCUCUGGUGCUUUUCCUCCUCCAUCUCUCCUGGGAAGUUCACCUCCUGCAUGGUGUGAAGUGGGUACAGCACUUGUUUGGUAUGUGUUGGGGGGGCUCAGUGCAGGCUGUGUGCUGCGGAGGCACCGAUUUCAUUCCAGGACACAGUUCCUUGAAGUUGUAGGAGUCUCUGAAGGCAGAUUGCCCUUUAGACCUUGGACUGCAGACAGUUGAUAUAGGUUCCCCUGCCAAGCCGCACUGAGCAUUGCCAGUGUGUUUGUGUCGUUAGCAGAUGUGCUGUUACUCCGUUCUCCUAUGCACACACACGGCACAAGCUCUGCUCUACAGGGAGCUCAGGGACCGCUGCGUCCCUGGAGCCAUCUGACUGGAAGGGUUUCAGAGGUGGGGAGCUGUGUGCUGGUGGUACUAGGCGGUACUGAGCCUGUCCAAGUCUGUCCCUCUCAGCACAUCACCAAAUUGCAGCCUGGACUUGCUAGAGCUUCUCUUCUGGUGCCAGCAUCUCCGCCUGGCCCAGCUCCAUGCUUGUGCUAAGUGGCUUUGGAGCUGCCCCAGGGGUCUGUCACGGGCUGGAAUUAGAGUUGCAUUUGGCUGGCUGGUCUGUCUUUCCUUCCUGGAUGCUAUUGCUUUUUUUAGCUUAUCUCAGUUCUGCAUGGGUUUGUGAGUUCCUGCUGAAGUCUCUAACAAGAUUUGUAUGGUGGCUUCUUUUUCCUCCAAGCAAUCAUAAUUUGGCCAGAAAUAAAUGUCUGCAAAAAUCUU